AAUUCUCAACCUUUUGAACGCUUGCGCUCACUAGGCUUGGAUGUGAGGGUUUUGCUGGCUUCCUUCAGUGGCGGUCUGCUCCCUUUAAAUGCAUUAGUGGGAUCCUUUGUGGAUCGGUCACUUGGUGUGAUAAUAUAUCUACGCCGCUUGUACCGCGAAGCAAAACUUAUGGGAACCUGCUUAUAACCGUCUAGCAAUAGACAACUUUUGAAC
rnacentral:misc_RNA from 1 species